rnacentral:lncRNA from 1 species
CUGUCAUUUGAGAAGGCAGUGGCGGGCGUUGAUGCCCCAACACCUGAUGUGGAGCACCAGAAGGUGUGUUAUGUGCUGCUCCAGCCAUUUGAGAAGGUGGAUAAUGUGCUCCUGUCAUUUGAGGAGGAGGAGGUGUUGGACGCUGCUGUGCUGCCAUUUGUGUUUGAAACCCAGAAGGUGGGUUAUGUGCUGCUCCAGCCAUUUGAGAAGGUGGAUAAUGUGCUCCUGUCAUUUGAGGAGGAGGAGGUGUUGGAGGCUGCUGUGCAGCCAUUUGUGUUUGAAAACCAGAAGGUGGGUUAUGUGCUGCUCCAGCCAUUUGAGAAGGUGGAUAAUGUGCUCCUGUCAUUUGAGGAGGAGGUGUUGGAUGCCACUGUGCUGCCAUUUGUGUUUGAAACCCAGAAGGUGGGUUAUGUGCUGCCCCUGCCAUUUGGGAGGGGAACCUGACCGGUGGUGGUGG